rnacentral:ncRNA from 1 species
CCCUGACUGUGUAAUGCAGACACUGGCCACGACAGGAGAUUAAAAUG